rnacentral:rRNA from 1 species
UACGGGGGGGGCAAGCGUUGUUCGGAAUUACUGGGCGUAAAGGGCUCGUAGGCGGCCAACUAAGUCAGACGUGAAAUCCCUCGGCUUAACCGGGGAACUGCGUCUGAUACUGGAUGGCUUGAGUGUGGGAGAGGGAUGCGGAAUUCCAGGUGUAGUGGUGAAAUGCGUAGAUAUCUGGAGGAACACCGGUGGCGAAGGCGGCAUCCUGGACCAUUACUGACGCUGAGGAGCGAAAGCCAGGGGAGCAAACGGG